rnacentral:rRNA from 1 species
UACGUAGGGUGCGAGCGUUGUCCGGAAUUACUGGGCGUAAAGAGCUCGUAGGCGGUCUGUCGCGUCUGCCGUGAAAACCCGAGGCUUAACCUCGGGCUGGCGGUGGAUACGGGCAGACUAGAGGUAGGUAGGGGAGAAUGGAAUUCCCGGUGUAGCGGUGAAAUGCGCAGAUAUCAGGAGGAACACCGGUGGCGAAGGCGGGACUCUGGGCCGAUACUGACGCUGAGGAGCGAAAGCGUGGGGAGCAAACAGG